rnacentral:rRNA from 1 species
UACGAGGGGGGCAAGCGUUGUUCGGAAUUAUUGGGCGUAAAGGGUGCGUAGGCGGUUUGGUAAGUCUGAUGUGAAAUCUAUGGGCUCAACUCAUAGUCUGCAUCGGAAACUGCCGGGCUUGAGUGUGGGAGAGGUGAGUGGAAUUCCUGGUGUAGCGGUGAAAUGCGUAGAGAUCGGAAAGAACACCAACGGCGAAAGCACUCUGCUGGGCCGACACUGACACUGAGAGACGAAAGCUAGGGGAGCGAAUGGG